ACAAAAAGUGUCCUUUAAUUAAUAAAGGUUAUUAAACGUUUUUUUAAUUAGGUAUGGUCCUCGCUGUAUCAAUCAAGUCCCAUUGAAAUAUUGAAACGUUGUUCAUACAUCUUUGAAUGACCUUUUAUGUGCUGACAAUAUGUUCUGAAAUGAAGAGAUUUUACCCCUGAUGAAGUCUUGGAACAAGACGAAACGCGUUGGGUUAUUUAUCUAUCUAUUAUCUGACGUUACCUCCGAAUCUACAAUAAGGAGAAGGAGGAAAUCGUAGGGAUAUAUCUACGCUUUUUCCUCAUCACUACAAACUGAUUGUUCAAAUUGUGCGACAAAUGUAAAUGUAUCAACUCUGUAUACUUAUGAACAUUUGUGUCGGGUUUAUAUGUUGUUUUAAUAAAUUUUUAUGUUAGUA